rnacentral:rRNA from 1 species
GAAUAUUGGACAAUGGGGGAAACCCUGAUCCAGCCAUGCCGCGUGUGUGAAGAAGGUCUUCGGAUUGUAAAGCACUUUAAGUUGGGAAGAAGGGCUGAUGCCUAAUACGUAUCAGUCUUGACGUUACCGACAGAAUAAGCACCGGCUAACUCUGUGCCAGCAGCCGCGGUAAUACAGAGGGUGCAAGCGUUAAUCGGAAUUACUGGGCGUAAAGCGCGCGUAGGUGGCUAAGUAAGAUGGGUGUGAAAUCCCCGGGCUCAACCUGGGAACUGCAUCCAUAACUGCUUGGCUAGAGUACGGUAGAGGGUAGUGGAAUUUCCUGUGUAGCGGUGAAAUGCGUAGAUAUAGGAAGGAACACCAGUGGCGAAGGCGACUACCUGGACUGAUACUGACACUGAGGUGCGAAAGCGUGGGGAGCAAACAGG